ensembl:lncRNA
ACCCUUUCAAUUCAACCCAGAUUAGACGAAUGUUUUAGGACACCAUGUUUUGAGCAAGAUGAUUAUCAGAGGUGAGACGUAGCCAGGGGGGGUUCUCUAAGUUCAUUUGCACCCUUGUUGAUUGGAUUGUCUCUUUUCUGACAACAGGAAGGAGACGAAUGGUGGAGCAGAUGUUUUGAUGUUGCACACUGGAUCUGAGGAGAAGCAUUGAUGAAGCUCCGUUGCCGUGGAGACCACACUGAUGGCGAACAAGACGAAGAUCCAAGCUUCGGGACAGACGUCUUCUGACGAAGAACCCUUGAAUCCUAACGGCCACCGGCCGAGCCAGAAAGCAAAGAGGAGGGGCCCUGCAGAGAAGCAGCGGCGUCUUAGAGAUAAAAGGCGGGGCAACAAGGAGAAGAAGCAGGAGGGCGUUACGGUGAAGAGGAUGUACAGCGACGGGAAGCGGCGCUGGGAUAAGAAACAUUACUGCGUGUUCUGCCGGCAGCCACAGGUGAAGAUAGCUCGGCACCUGCUCACCAAACACGGCGACCAACAGGAAGUGGCGGCCGCCGGCAAGCUGCCGACCGGCUCCAAACAGCGCCACUUUCUGCUGGAGCAUCUACGCUGCAGGGGAAACUACAUGCACAACAUCGAGGUGAUCCGACAGGGCACCGGAGAGAUUGUCCCGUGGCGUCAGCCCUCAGAGGACGUUGAUGCCAGGAACUAUCUUCCCUGCCCGCUUUGCCUUGGUUUUUUCCUACGUGCUGAUCUCUGGAAACAUCAAGCUUCCUGUCGCAAGAAGAUGACCUCUGAGCCCCCAAAAGAGUUCACAACUAAGUUUACCUCUGACCUGACGAAGGACACAAACUCUGACUCCGCAGGUAAAUCAGCCUGUAAUCCAACAGCCGACCGGAGCGACGCGUCCACCGAGGAUGCACCUUCUGACCCCUCAGGAGACACAACUACCAAGGGCCAGACAUCUGACCCCACAGUGAAUCAAAACGAGACCUCUCACCCAGAGGCGGACCAGCCCAGGAAGCGCAACAGGGUCCAGGCCGCAGCAUCCCGCCUCCUCCCGAUUUCCAGCGGAGCAUCGGAGAGCUGCAGCGAAGUCCUGCACCGCAUGAACCAGGACCACGUCUCACACCAGGUCAAAUCUGAUUGGUUGAUUUGUAAAUACGGAAACAAGUUGAUGGGAAAUCAAGAUGGCAGCCAGAGGAGGUACGACUACGUCAGUCAGAAGCUGAGGGAGCUCGGCCGGUUCCUUCUAGCCGCUAAGUCUCUAGAUUCUGGGGUCCAGAACCUGCAGGACCUCCUUGCGCCGGGCCGCCUCGCCCUGUCUCUGUCCGCCGCUAGGAAGGCGGCCGGCUACCGGUGGAGUCGCCCGCCACUGGCGGUGAAAACCACGCUGAAAACUCUCUGUGAGAUUGCGAUCGGAGAGACUCUCCAGGACGGAGACGUGGAGGCCGCGGCCAAGACCACUGACUUCUACCACGUGCUGGGGAGGGAGUGGGACCAGCUGGGGCUGCAGAGCCCCGACUCCAACACAGUUUUGUCUCCAAGCAGACCCAGAACGUCGACCUACAUGAGUUCACGGGAGUCCAGGCUGCAGACCCCUGCUGUCCCUGUGGCUCCUGGAAAGGUCCAACGUCGACCCUGGUCUUCUGCUGAGAAGGAGGCGGUCUGGAGACAGCUGGGAGUCUACGUGCUGGUCCAGUCGGUUCCGGGGAAGGAAGUCUGCCAGCGCUGUCUAGACCUGGAGCCUGACCUCAGAGGGCGACACUGGAAAGACGUCAAGAACCAAGUCCACAACCAGAUCCAGAGCCAGAAGAAGCAGCAGUUCCAUACCCAGAUGGACCUUCAGGAGAACCAGGGGGAGCAGAGCCAGAACCAAAAUAAGCAGCAACAGUACCAGGACCACACCAACAAUCCGAAGAAGCAGCAGCAGUACCAGGGCCAGUUUGACAAUCAGGACCACCUUCAGACCCACAAGAAACAGCUGCACCACAUGGGCGAGCAGACUGACCUGGACCGCGACACUUCUGUUCUGACGGUUGUAGCUUAUGGACCUGACGGUCCACACCAAGGACUGCUGGACCCCCCUGUGAGUCCGUACCUCCAGCUGCUGGACGGGUCAGUCCAGUACCACACUGUCAGCAGACAUACGGACCAGAACAUGCUACAGGAGGUUCCACCAGGACAACCCCACAAUGCACACUCCGGACUGGUCUACUUCUGA